rnacentral:misc_RNA from 1 species
UCCCGCUUGUCACGGGCAGUUUCUCUAGAGUUCUCGCCUUAACGCGUUAGCAACUAGAAAUGAGGGUUGCGCUCGUUGCGGGACUUAACCCAACAUCUCACGACACGAGCUGACGACAGCCAUGCAACACCUGUCUCCUCCCCGGCCGAACCGAAGGGCCUCCAUUACAAGGCCCGAAAGAGGGAUGUCAAGGGUUGGUAAGGUUUUUCGCGUAGCAUCGAAUUAAACCACAUGCUCCACCGCUUGUGCGGGUCCCCGUCAAUUCCUUUGAGUUUUAAUCUUGCGACCGUACUCCCCAGGCGGAGUGCUUAACGUGUUAACUGUGUCACUAGAAUAAAUUCUAACAACUAGCACUCAUCGUUUACGGCGUGGACUAC